UAAGGAAUAUUGGUCAAUGGACGGAAGUCUGAACCAGCCAUGCCGCGUGCAGGAAGACGGCCUUCUGGGUUGUAAACUGCUUUUAUACGGGAANAACAGUUAGUACUUGUACUNAUUUGACUGUACUGUAUGAAUAAGGAUCGGCUAACUCCGUGCCAGCAGCCGCGGUAAUACGGAGGAUCCGAGCGUUAUCCGGAUUUAUUGGGUUUAAAGGGUGCUCAGGUGGNUUNUUAAGUCAGUGGUGAAAUUCAUNGGCUCAACCGGUGGCUGUCCAUCGAUACUGGUGAGCUUGAAUGUAGUCGAAGAUGGCGGAAUGUGACAAGUAGCGGUGAAAUGCAUAGAUAUGCCACAGAACACCUAUUGCGAAGGCAGNUAUCNAAGCUAUUAUUGACGCUGAANCACGAAAGCGUGGGUAUCGAACAGGAUUAGAUACCCUGGUAGUCCACGCUGUAAACUAUGAUAACUCGAUGUCGCCGAUAUACAGUCAGUGUCNUAACGAAAGCGUUAAGUUAUUCACCUGGGGGAGUACCGUUCGCAAGGAAUGA
rnacentral:rRNA from 1 species